CGCGGCCCCCAGCGACUCCGCGGCUCUGGGAGGUUGACCUCAGCCUCUACAGCCGCUGCCAACCAACAAACCCAAGCGACAACCAGUCCUGUCUGGGUUAUAAGGGAAUCCAAGGUGGCGACCCCCGGAGGACCCCCUUUGAACUCCUUUCUUGCCUGUCUGCGUUCUGGCUCCUUCUCCAGCCCUCUUCGAAGGCUCCGGCAGGCUGCAUGCGAGGCCGCGCCGAGGCCACCGUGCACGGCUGCCUCCUCAGACCCCAAGCCCUUCCUUUCCACGUCUGGGCCACACAGGUUUCCCAACCUCCUUUGCGUGCCUGUGGGGUCACAGGACAGCUCGGGCUGGAAUAUGGAUACAGAUGCGCCCAUAAAACUUCCCAUGCUCUCUGCCAUGCUUUUUGGUUUUUGGGGUUUGUUUUUUUUGGGGGGUUUUUUUUUGUUGUUGUUUUUUUGGAGGGGUGCCUCAUCAGCUGGAUGGAUGCAAUAGCUCAGGAAGCGGGAACUCAAAGGUCCCACGGGAUAGUGAAGCCACGCAUUGGAAGACUUCGGGUUUCUGAAUGCCUGCAUGAACACGGGCCUCUUCCUCUUGGAAUGUGACGUGAGCGAGAAAUAAACUCAGUUUGCAUGAAGGCCUGAGACUUGGGGUGGUUGAUACAGCAGUCAGCCGGCCCUGACCGACACACCAAGUGCCAGACCCCCAAACUGCUUUCUACAAGGCGGGCCACGCCAGCCCUCUGUCCCUCGGUGCUUCCCCGGGGGGCAUCUCUGACCUGUCUGCCCGGCGGGCCACACCUGACGUAGUAGCAUCAAAGUCCCAUAUUCUGACCUCCAACCUCUAACCUCGGUUCGUGUUUCAACUCUUACAUUGGUUUCCUGCCUGUUGAUUAAGAUGUACUCGUUGCAAGUCCAUUGGAACUCUCAGAGGUGGUGCCCGUUAUUCUCUAAACGGGGUCUUGAGGCCAUGUGCUCUGCAGGUUUAGGGUCUCUGAGUUAGUCCCACAGGCUGCAGUAGAGACAAAUAAGCAAAGAGAUUGGAAGCUGCCGACUCCCUCCAUGCUGGACAAGUUCUCCCAAGCCAUCCUUCCCACUGGAAGGCAGAAGAAUUAUAAGCACAUUGCAUAGAACAAGCCGUUCGGCAUCUUGGCCGUGCCUGUGCCCUGACUUGCAUCCAUAAUGACAAGAAACAGGCCGCUUUGUGGUAAACAGAGGCUGACAGACCUACAGACUGAGAAACUGAGUUGAUUUAUUGUAUUUGACUUUCUGAGAUUCGGCACUGCCAGAUUUCAAUGAGUAGUGGUGCCCAUAACAAAUGGUCAGUGUUUGUUGUUGUUAUUGUUGUUUUGGAGUGGGGGAGUAGGUGAGUAAAUCAUCUGUAAUUUAAGCUCAGCUCAGAGCUCUGAACAUCCUUCAGCCAGUUCUUACUCGGCAGGAAAUUGGAGCUCGUAGAGCUACAUAAAAUUCACUUUUCCAUUAUUAAAGAACCAACACAAGUAACUGUUUGACUCAAGUUAACAUUCACUCCUUGGAAGAGAUGAUGAGUAAAUAUUUACCCACUGGCAUAGCUGUUGAGUAAUUGCCCAUUAAGAAAGUUAAAUGUUAAUCACUUAUUUCUGGAUUGAAUAAUUUCAACAUGAUCCUAUGACUAAUCCUUAAUGUGUAAGGCAAGAAAAAAAAAAAAAAGCCCACAUCCGUUAGUUUCUUUCGAUUUUGACCAUAAAGAAAGGCAUACUUUUAGGAAUGUCUUAAAUUAGACACAUAACCAGUUUUCACUCCCUUAGCACUCCAAGCCUGCUUGAUUGCUUUUUCAUUGUUCUUUACCCAAAGAAACCAUGACCUCAGGUUAAGUAUUAACAGGGCUGGAGAAGGAAGUGUUGGACAGGAGUCUAGCGGGAAUGGGAGACAUCUGAACUAAGAGGAGAACUAAAACUUGGGGACAGAGAACAGAAGAUAUAACCUAGAUGUCGUGAUGUUGGCUGUCCUACAUCACAGGGAAUUGUGUAUGACAAAUGUCAUUAAAGUGAAAAUCUUAGGCUACACUUCACCAAGAACAUUAAGUUUCCACCGAGUCAGAGGGGGAUCCCAGCAGUACGUGGCCAACAAAGGAGGCUGCCCUGUGGACAGGUGAGGCAGUUUGAUCCCAGGUGUACCUCAAGCAGAAUGGAGAUAGAAUAACGUACCUCACGCCUUCCAACCUGUGACUGAGUUCCACUUGGAGGAGAAGCCUGGGAGUGUAAGAUUGCCUGCUGCUUCUUUCUCCCUCCGUUGAUCCAUGACCUCCGCUCAUCUGCCACCCGCCCUCCAAUGUAUAUCCAAGUGAAGACUUCCUUUUGCCAUUGGAUUUUCUUCUGAAUAGUGACCCCCUGCCUCUCAGAAAUGUAUUGGGUUAGUGACACCCUUCCUCACUUCUAUACUGGUAUGGAUGGGUUUUGCUAUAGGUAUGCCUGCAUUUCAUGGUGUACAGGAAAGAACUUGGACAUAAAUGGUGCAUAAACUUGGGCAAGCUCUUGAUCCUUUCUGAGCAUAGCUCUCUCCACCUGUAAAAUGAUAUUAAUAAAGCCUACCCCACAGA